GACGAACGCUGGCGGCGUGCUUAACACAUGCAAGUCGAACGAAGAGCGAUGGAAGCUUGCUUCUAUCAAUCUUAGUGGCGAACGGGUGAGUAACGCGUAAUCAACCUGCCCUUCAGAGGGGGACAACAGUCGGAAACGACUGCUAAUACCGCAUACGAUCUAAUCUCGGCAUCGAGGAUAGAUGAAAGGUGGCCUCUACAUGUAAGCUAUCACUUAAGGAGGGGAUUGCGUCUGAUUAGCUAGUUGGAGGGGUAACGGCCCACCAAGGCGAUGAUCGGUAGCCGGGCUGAGAGGAUGGACGGCCAGAUUGGGACUGAGACACGGCCCAGACUCCUACGGGAGGCAGCAGUGGGGAAUCUUCCGCAAUGGACGAAAGUCUGACGGAGCAACGCCGCGUGAGUGAUGACGGCCUUCGGGUUGUAAAGCUCUGUUAAUCGGGACGAAAGGCCUUCUUGCGAAUAGGGAGAAGGAUUGACGGUACCGGAAUAGAAAGCCACGGCUAACUACGUG
rnacentral:rRNA from 1 species